GAUGAAGAACGCAGCGAAAUGCGAUACCUGGUGUGAAUUGCAGAAUCCCGCGAACCAUCGAGUCUUUGAACGCAAGUUGCGCCCGAGGCCACUCGGCCGAGGGCACGCCUGCCUGGGCGUCACGCCAAAACACGCUCCCAACCCCCCUCAUCGGGAAUAGGGAUGCGGCAUAUGGUCCCUCGUCUCACAAGGGGCGGUGGGCCGAAGAUCGGGCUGCCGGCGGACCGCGCCGGACACAGCGCAUGGUGGGCGUCCUCGCUUUAUCAACGCAGUGCAUCCGACGCGUAGCCGGCGUGAUGGCCUCAAAACGACCCAGCAAACGAAGCGCACGUCGCUUCGACCGCGACCCCAGGUCAGGCGGGACUACCCGCUGAGUUUAAGCAUAUCAAUAAGCGGAGGA
rnacentral:misc_RNA from 1 species